rnacentral:rRNA from 1 species
CAGCCGCCGCGGGAAUACGGAGGGUGCAAGCGUUACUCGGAAUCACUGGGCGUAAAGGACGCGUAGGCGGAUUAUCAAGUCUCUUGUGAAAUCUAACGGCUUAACCGUUAAACUGCUUGGGAAACUGAUAAUCUAGAGUAAGGGAGAGGCAGAUGGAAUUCUUGGUGUAGGGGUAAAAUCCGUAGAGAUCAAGAAGAAUACCCAUUGCGAAAGCGAUCUGCUGGAACUUAACUGACGCUAAUGCGUGAAAGCGUGGGGAGCAAACAGGAUUAGAUACCCCCGUAGUCCCUGUCUCUUAUAC